CGUAGUCUCUGCGCAUGCGCUGAACCGAUCGUGUUUCCUCCUCCUCCAUCUUUUACUAUCUGUGAACACGGAGACACCACUUCUUGAGCACCGAAGCUGAUUAAAGUUCACCUUCCGUCAGGACUGAAGUUUACAUACCAGUGCUGUGUGCCAGAAGGUUCCUCAGCUUCUGAAGUUGGAUGGAAAUGACCUCCCCCCACCCAUUGGCUUUGAUGUGGACACACCCACCACUCUCCCACCUUGUAAGAGAAGCUGCUUUGGCUCUGAUGACGCUAAACGUCUACAUUCAGCGCUUUUUGCAACACGAUGCGUUUCCAUCUGCUGAAGCACACACGACUGAAUGUGGUGAACGUUCCUCAACGAGCUGCCAUAAACCCAGCAUGACAUCAUCUCUUUCACCGUGGACAAUACGCUGCUGUCAUUCACAGUGGGCGGAGUCUUCAAAGAAGUUGUUGUAGAUGAUAAAUCUAAAGAAUCUACAAGGUUUUCAUCACAGUUCCAGCAGUGGAUUCUGGGUAGGUUACACACGUAAAACCAAAGUGCUCAUUAUCAGCUGUAGCUUCAGAUAAUGCUUGCCUCCACUAGUAUGACUGGAAUGAACAAACAGUAAAUACUGUUUCACCACAUGUGUUUUCUGUGUAUUCCUAUAUUUACCUAAUGUAUAUUUAUUUGUCCAUAAAAUAAAAUGAUAAACGCUUUUACA
rnacentral:lncRNA from 1 species